rnacentral:rRNA from 1 species
UACAUGCAAGUCGAGCGCGGGAAGCAGGCAGAUCCUCUUCGGAGGUGACGCCUGUGGAACGAGCGGCGGACGGGUGAGUAACACGUGGGCAACCUGCCUGUAAGAUUGGGAUAACCCCGGGAAACCGGGGCUAAUACCGGAUAAUACUUUUCGUUGCAUAACGAGAAGUUGAAAGGCGGCUUUUAGCUGUCACUUACAGAUGGGCCCGCGGCGCAUUAGCUAGUUGGUAAGGUAACGGCUUACCAAGGCGACGAUGCGUAGCCGACCUGAGAGGGUGAUCGGCCACACUGGGACUGAGACACGGCCCAGACUCCUACGGGAGGCAGCAGUAGGGAAUCUUCCGCAAUGGACGAAAGUCUGACGGAGCAACGCCGCGUGAGUGAUGAAGGUUUUCGGAUCGUAAAACUCUGUUGUCAGGGAAGAACAAGUGCCGUUCAAAUAGGGCGGCACCUUGACGGUACCUGACCAGAAAGCCCCGGCUAACUACGUGCCAGCAGCCGCGGUAAUACGUAGGGGGCAAGCGUUGUCCGGAAUUAUUGGGCGUAAAGCGCGCGCAGGCGGUCCUUUAAGUCUGAUGUGAAAGCCCACGGCUUAACCGUGGAGGGCCAUUGGAAACUGGAGGACUUGAGUACAGAAGAGGAGAGUGGAAUUCCACGUGUAGCGGUGAAAUGCGUAGAGAUGUGGAGGAACACCAGUGGCGAAGGCGACUCUCUGGUCUGUAACUGACGCUGAGGUGCGAAAGCGUGGGGAGCGAACAGGAUUAGAUACCCUGGUAGUCCACGCCGUAAACGAUGAGUGCUAGGUGUUAGGGGGUUUCCGCCCCUUAGUGCUGAAGUUAACGCAUUAAGCACUCCGCCUGGGGAGUACGGCCGCAAGGCUGAAACUCACAAGAAUUGACGGGGGCCCGCACAAGCGGUGGAGCAUGUGGUUUAAUUCGAAGCAACGCGAAGAACCUUACCAGGUCUUGACAUCCUCUGCCAAUCCUAGAGAUAGGAUGUUCCCUUCGGGGACAGAGUGACAGGUGGUGCAUGGUUGUCGUCAGCUCGUGUCGUGAGAUGUUGGGUUAAGUCCCGCAACCAGCGCAACCCUUGAUCUUAGUUGCCAGCAUUUAGUUGGGCACUCUAAGGUGACUGC